UGAUUUAUCGGCGGACGGGUGAGUAAUGCCUAGGAAUCUGCCUGGUAGUGGGGGAUAACGUCCGGAAACGGGCGCUAAUACCGCAUACGUCCUACGGGAGAAAGCAGGGGACCUUCAGGCCUUGCGCUAUCAGAUGAGCCUAGGUCGGAUUAGCUAUUUGGUGAGGUAAUGGCUCACCAAGGCGACGAUCCGUAACUGGUCUGAGAGGAUGAUCAGUCACACUGGAACUGAGACACGGUCCAGACUCCUACGGGAGGCAGCAGUGGGGAAUAUUGGACAAUGGGCGAAAGCCUGAUCCAGCCAUGCCGCGUGUGUGAAGAAGGUCUUCGGAUUGUAAAGCUCUUUAACUUGGGAUGAAAGGCAGAAAGUUAAUACCUCUGAUGUUUUCAC
rnacentral:rRNA from 1 species